UGGGGAAUAUUGCACAAUGGACGGAAGUUUGAUGCAGCGACGCCGCGUGGAGGGUGUAGGCCUUCGGGUUGUGAACUCCUUUUUCUCGCGAAAAAGGCACAGUUUUGGCUGUGUUGAUGGUAGUGGGGGAAGAAGCGCCGGCUAACUACGUGCCAGCAGCCGCGGUAAUACGUAGGGCGCGAGCGUUGUCCGGAUUUAUUGGGCGUAAAGGGUUCGCAGGCGGAAAUGCAAGUCAGGUGUAAAAGGCAGUAGCUUAACUACUGUAAGCAUUUGAAACUGCAUAUCUUGAGAAGAGUAGAGGUAAGUGGAAUUUUUAGUGUAGCGGUGAAAUGCGUAGAUAUUAAAAAGAAUACCGGUGGCGAAGGCGACUUACUGGGCUCAUUCUGACGCUGAGGAACGAAAGCGUGGGUAGCAAACAGG
rnacentral:rRNA from 1 species